UAAAACCUAAUAUCUCCAACUUUCCAUCUCCGUUGUCCCCAAAACGGCAAAACCUAAUAUUUAGAAACGGCAGCCGCUCAUCUGAUUCUGGUAAAAAAUGUUUCCAUAUUUCUAUAUUUCCGUUAGAAGUUAUAUUUUCAUACAAGUUAUUCCAUAUUUCCGUAAAAAAUGUUGAGGUACUCUUGGCUCUUCCCAUCGAAAAAAAUGUUGUGUGCCUCUGGUUUUUGAAGUUUUCUUUUAGUGUAAACUCAGCGAUUCUGGACUAUAAUACAGGGCAGCCAAAAGAAUUAGAGUUGAUUUUGAUCAUAGGCUAUUUAUAUUUACAUUUUCUCAACGAAAAAAUGUUUGAUCAUAUUCCAGAUCUUUUAAAUAGACAGUUCUCUGUGCAAGCAUUUUAGCUAAUCUUUGUUGUGGAUGUUUCUGAUGGUUUGCUUCUUCUAAUAAGUUUAUAACAUAGUGGUUUGUAAUCUAAUAAUAGCCCACUAUACUGCAUUACUGCCUAAUGUUUAUUUUUUUAUUACUUCAUUAGGGGCGGGUCGUCCCGAUCCGCGCCCGGUCGUCGGGGUAGGGAGCCAGAGUAUCUGAACCGUCCCAUUCCGCGUCCCAUUUUUAGGACCGGGGUGGAUACCGGGGUGGAUACCGGGGCGGUCCUGCCUCGCCCCGAUUUCAUACAAUAAUUAAUAUUUAAUACAUUAAUUAAUAUUCAAAUUAAAAAUAAACACAUUCAUUCAAUUAACAAUAAAAAUUUCAAAUACGUUAAACAUUAUUUCAAUGUCCUACGAAGACACAUAUCAUUAAAUAUUUUUAAAAUGACUUCGUUAUCUAUAUUUUAAAAAAUAUCUUUCUCGAUAUAUGUUACUA
rnacentral:lncRNA from 1 species